UCAUCUAUUAGUAAAAAUACCUUUUUAUUGUCAACAUGACAUUAAAAAAUCACAAAUAGUAAUUUAGACUACAGUUUUUAUAGAAUCGCUGUUAAAUAAAAAGAAACAAACUUGAAAUAUUAUUCAGCAUUAGGUAAGUGUAAGAAAGACAAAUACAAUUGAGUAACAAAUAAACAUAAAAAGUGUUUGCUCUGCCAUUUGAAUCCAUUCUGUGGUCAGAAAGCAGUAAAUCUAUUCCUUUUAUAUAGUCAAGUGAUUCACAAGACUUCACUAAUGUAAGUUGGCAGGUGCAAUGGGUUAAAUAAAACAUUUUGAGUUGAUUUUUUUCUGUAUUCGUGGUAAAAAAAAACAACAACCUGAUAGUUCAAGAGUCAAGGCUUGCAAGUAUGGGGUAACAGCACAGAGAUAAAUAAUCAAAAGUAGAUAAUGUCAGA